UUUUGCCUCGGUGGGCCGUGAGGCAUUCAAACCAGACAAUACCUCUCAUUUAUUCAAGCCAAAUGGAUGACAGAAUUAGUUCAACACAGUCGUUCAUUUAAUUUCUUGGAGGAGAUUCCCCUGAAUGAGCGCUGAAUGUUUCUCAUCAAAUUUUGAAAGCGUGAAGUCUAGCCAGUCUGUGUUCCCGUAACAGUCUUCUUGGGUGAAUAGUAGAUUUGGUUUCCAAGCCUCAGCAGAAUGUUUUUUUUUCUUCUCGUACUAGCUUUGCUAUUCCACAGAGAUGGAAAAAGCAGUGUUGUGUUUUGUUGUGUGGAGGAUGCCGCUGGAAGCGAGUGUGUAGCGAAGUUUCCCUUCAGAGAGUGAGUGGAGUAAGAGCACACAGAGAGCCUUUUCUAUGUCUCUAUUUAGGUUGGUCAGGGUGUGAUUUGGGUGGGUGGGCUUUCUAUGUCCUUUUUUCUAUGCUUUGUAUUUCUUUGUUUUGGCCUGGUAUGGCUCUCCCCAGCCUGGUGAGUCCUGUGCCUGCGCCCAGAGCCAGGCCUCCUGCAAGUCUCCCCAGCCUGGUUUAUCCUGUGCCUCCUCCAUGGACCAGGCCUCCAGUGGGUCUCCCCAGCCUGGGGAAUCCGGCGCAGCCAGAGUCGCCCGCCUGUCCUCCGGCGCAGCCAGAGUCGCCCGCCUGUCCUCCGGCGCAGCCAGAGUCGCCCGCCUGUCCUCCGGCGCAGCCAGAGUCGCCCGCCUGUCCUCCGGCGCAGCCAGAGUCGCCCGCCUGUCCUCCGGCGCAGCCAGAGUCGCCCGCCAGUCCGGGGCACGCGGCGAGGGACCCCGCUCUAGAGGCGCCACCAAAGUGGGCAGCAACUGCCCCGCCCUCAACCGCAAGGCUCUACAGAGGAUGGUAUGGAUGGCCCAGUACAUCCCGGGGGCAAGCUCCCAGCCAUUGAGGACAUCUAUACCAGGCGGUGUCUGACAUCUAUACCCAUCCACGCUACAAUCCACAUCGACGGGGCUGCAGUGGAGCAGGCAGACAGCUUCAAGUUCCUCGGUGUCCAAAUCACUAAAGACUUCAAAUGGUCCAAACACACGCGCACAGUCGUGAAGAAGGUGCGACAGCGCCUCUUCCCCUCAAGAAGUUGAAAAAGUUUGGCAUGGGCCCUCAAAUCCUCUAAAAGUUCUACAGCUGUACCGUUGAGAGCAUUUUGACUGGCUACAAUAGCACCGCCCUCCAUCGCAUUGAAUGGUACUAGGAUUGGCCUUGUAUAUAGUGUACAUUCUCAUGUGUAUUUAUUUUAUAUGAUUUAGCAUAAUUGCAUUGUUGAGGAAGAGUAAGCAUUUCACUAUGCUGUUUACAUCUGCUGUAUCAUGUGCACGUGACAAAUAAACUUUGAUUUGAGAGAGAUACAGUAUGUGACAAAUGAAGCUGAUUGGGGAACUGGUAUAAGAAGACAUGCAGCUUUAUGGAUUCUAUCAAGGCUAUUUCUAUUCUGAUUACUCUUAUAACAGCUACAGUAACCUGCUCAGUUAGACCCUACAGUACAAUAGUAGAGGAUGUUGCUAGUUGAGGUUUAUUCUAUCUGGCACAGAUGUGAAUUGCAAAUCAAAACAAAAAUGGAACCAAAUGAAUAGAUAUUGUAUACAGAGAGACAUGCUUGUAAACAACACAUAGAAAUAUGCUAAUACAAAAAUGUUCUUCACAAUUUGCAUAGCACUUCUUUUCAUUGAACUGGCACAUGCAGUAUACAGUAGACACACACACAC
rnacentral:lncRNA from 1 species